rnacentral:misc_RNA from 1 species
GGAAAGUAAAAGUCGUAACAAGGUCUCCGUUGGUGAACCAGCGGAGGGAUCAUUAUCGAGUUUAUAACUCCCAAACCCUAUGUGAACUUACCACUUGUUGCUUCGGCGCGCGCUUCGGCGCCGCCGAGGACACUUAAACUCUUUGUUUUUAUAAGCAUUUCUGAGUGGCCGAAAGGCAAAAUACAAAUGAAUCAAAACUUUCAACAACGAAUCUCUUGGUUCUG